rnacentral:lncRNA from 1 species
GCUCAACUCAUGCUUCAAAACAUCAUAGUCUUCAAAAGGUGAUUUCCUGUAAGGAAAACAAGGAUAACGAAACGGGGUGAGCUAAAAGCUCAAUGAGGUACCAACAGUAGAAUCAGUAGAAUUCAUGAGAAAGCACUUUGGAGGCACAUAUUCACAUCAAAUAUGAGAAAUGAAUGAACAUCACAAUGUAAAGGAUACAGGUGGCUCUCAGGAGCCAAAUCCCCGUUGCUAUACUUGAUCCAGCCUCGUUGACCCUCCGUCAACGUUCAAUAAAGAAACCAGUCCAGUAGAACACCACUUUAACGCCAAAACCCCGUUCACCAAACAUACCCCUUACCGGGCCCGAACGCCAAACAGGAACAGAAAUGGUAAUACUCGAGUAUAUCGGAAUCAAGAGUCUCAAUACCCAAAGAUUCCCCAGGAACAGGUACCCAUGGAUCGUCAAUUAUCUCGACCAAGCCCUUACUGGCUCGAUUUAAUUAACUCCCCAUGAGGUUGAACUCAAGUUUAACAGGACGAUCGUUGGACACACUUCCAAACGAUCUCAUAACAAGUGCAAGUAACAAGUUCAAGUACAUAACAAGUACAAGAAAUAGAUUCCAGUUUUUUCAGUACAGGCAAGAGAACGAGUGUGAUAAAGUACACUCUCGUCUCAUACAAGAUAAACAGUCAGGAAAGAUAUUCAAAUAGCAAGUUGCAAGUACAAAAAACCAGUUUAGCAAUAACUCAAGGGAGUGGUGCACUCACCAGUUCAAAUAAGGAUAACUUCAAAAGUUUCCUUCCCAAGUGUGGCUUUAACCGUCGGCACCUCCUAGAACAAUCAAGGCAAACACUUAAGACUCUACUCCAAGACCUAGUAUGGAAUUCGCAAGUGAGACUCGGUUACGAGCCAUAUGCCUAGUCAAAAGAACCAUUAAUGCAAAGCAAAGAGGUGACCUCGGAGUGAAAAGGUAACAAUUAGCCUUAAAAGUAUGAAUAACCUCAAAGCCCUACCUACAAUGACUGACCAAUUCCAAAUUUGAAGUAGAUAAUGAAAGCAAGAUCAAUACUAGGAAAACAGGAUUUUUCAGUUUCGCGCAACCCUAUAUGAAAAAUCAUAUCUCAAGUUUUGUAAGUCCAAAAUUAGUAAAAGUUAUACCGUUGGAAAAUACAUUCAAAGGGCUAUAACUUUCCAGAAAACAUCCUCAUAAGAUUCAGAACGCAAGUCAGUCAAAUUCAAGCUUCAAAUUGCUGCUUUAUCCAGUGAAAGACAGAACAGGUACAAUAUUUCAGUCAACUUUGAAAAAUCACCAUAAAUGGUACAGACAUAAAAAGGGUCUAAAAUUUGUACAUUUUAUAGCCCUAUGAAUCUAGUUUAAAACUCAAUAAACGGAACUCAAUUCCGACAUUCCUACAUCAAGAUAUAGCAAAUUUCCCGAGACUGUGCUGAAGCUCCGCUAAAAUUUUGACAGCAUUUCCCUUGUCUUUCUUUACUUUCCAACCAAACCUCAACACCCACAAAUCACAAGCUAUCAAACACCUUUAAUUAGAGCCACCAUAAGGCUCGAAUACGAGUCAUAAACCAAAUCCACAUAUCACUAGAGUAAAAUCAUGUGGAACGUAUAAGUGAAAAAUCAAACUAGGACAUAUGCGGAAACGAAGUUUGGGUUGGAAAACAAAAGGCAGAUUUGCUGUUGCUUAGCGGAAUUAACACAACUGAAGCUAUAUCAUCGGAUUGAGGUGUAAAUUACACCUUCUUGAAGCUAAGAGAAAGGGCUACAAUGUUGAAGAAGGCUACUCAGUCCAGUUUGCAAUGUAUCUAAGUCAAAUUUACCAAAACAACCCCAGAUUUUCCAAUUCGAAGUUUACUGUGGCAGUCCGGAUUCAUUCAGUCAUAUCUCAGUAUAUACAACUCCAAUUCAAGUGAUUCCAAAGCUAUUUGAAAGCUAAGAUACAAGGAUAUAAGUCUUAAGAAGAUACCGACAACCAAAUCAGUAGUAUUCCUGGUCAAACUAACCAAUUACAGAAGCGGAUUAGCAGGUUCGGACAUAAACAGGGCAGCAGGGGUAUUUCGGUCUUUUCACAGGCUACGUUAUUCCGAUUGAGGUGAAAUUUUGUAGGCAACUAUAAAACAUUAUUAUCUACAACUUUCAUGUUUUGAGAUAAGGCUAAUUCGGUCUCUAACUAGGGGAAACAGUACCGGGCAGAAGGGGGAAAAUGGAAACCCUAAUCUGGAAUUUUUUUGCUUCAAGUGCUAAUCUUCUCCAAAACAACAUCUAAAACAACUAAAAACCACUAAUAAGCAAUUAAUUGAAGUAAAGAGGAUGUUCUUGGCAAAAUACCUUAAAACCCCAAGAAAGUUGGUAGCUUAGUGCUUCCCUUUCCAAAACAACUCCACCAAACCUUCUUAAUCCUUUCUAGCAAGAAGUUUUAUGGAGUAAUUUAAGAUGCUAAUGGUUGGAACUCAAGAUUGGGCAAGAAAUUGAAGAUGCAAGAUGAAAGGUUUUGCUUGAUGUUUCCUCUUCAAGGUUCG